rnacentral:rRNA from 1 species
GAAAUUCGACUUCAUGAAGCUGGAAUUGCUAGUAAUGGCAGGUCAGCAUACUGCCGUGAAUACGUUCCCGGGCCUUGUACACACCGCCCGUCACACCAUGAGAGUUGGGAAUACCCGAAGCCUGUGAGCUAACUGUAAAGAGGCAGCAGUCGAAGGUAGAAUCAAUGAUUGGGGUGAAGUCGUAACAAGGUAUC